UCCUCCUUAGCCCAGCCUCCUCGGUGAUCAACGAUUAAUUUGCUCAGGAGGAGUUCUUUUUCAGAAUAACCUGCUUCCUUUCUCACAGAUUUAUUAGCAGUUAUUUAUUUGAAUUAUUAUUUUCUAAAUUUGUAAUCUAGAACACUGCAUGUGUUGGCAGUCGUAUUACACUUGUCAGGUACUAUGUUAAUUUAAGUUUUGGGAAUUAAUAAAUGAAAAAAUUUGUGAUAGUUAAA